UUCCCUUCAACAAGAUCUGUCUCCUAGUUUGAUCAUAAGAGUCAUUUAAACCACUUAAAAACUGAAUUAACCUUUGUUGCUGCAGAUGAUCAGCAUAAUCUUUCGAUUGAGGACAUGUACAACAGGGAUUUGGUACCACAGUAUCAUAUUCACUCCAUAAUGUUUUCAAUUUAGUGAAAUAAUGUGAUACAAAAUAUGUACCUUGUGUGAGUG
rnacentral:lncRNA from 1 species